rnacentral:lncRNA from 1 species
GGUGCAUCAUUGGCUAUUAUGUAGCCUUUGUAACCUUAAUAAAGCUGUCUUCUUCUUUUAAAUUUCUAUUGGCUGAAGUUCACGACCUAGCCUGCACUGAUCAACGGAUUUUCAUAUAGGAAGUUUUUAAUUUCUGCCUCAGCACUUUUCCUCUAUUUUUUGUUUAUAAAACAGAGGACCUCAGAGUAAAAUAUUGUUCUCAAAGUUAUUGAUUUGUCGAAAGCACGUCAGGUGGUUUGG